AUUGAACGCUGGCGGCAGGCUUAACACAUGCAAGUCGAGCGGGGUGAUGGUGCUUGCACUAUCACUUAGCGGCGGACGGGUGAGUAAUGCUUAGGAAUCUGCCUAUUAGUGGGGGACAACAUCUCGAAAGGGAUGCUAAUACCGCAUACGUCCUACGGGAGAAAGCAGGGGAUCUUCGGACCUUGCGCUAAUAGAUGAGCCUAAGUCGGAUUAGCUAGUUGGUGGGGUAAAGGCCUACCAAGGCGACGAUCUGUAGCGGGUCUGAGAGGAUGAUCCGCCACACUGGGACUGAGACACGGCCCAGACUCCUACGGGAAGCGGCAGUGGGGAAUAUUGGACAAUGGGGGGAACCCUGAUCCAGCCAUGCCGCGUGUGUGAAGAAGGCCCUAUGGUUGUAAAGCACUUUAAGCGAGGAGGAGGCUACUUUAGUUAAUACCUAGAGAUAGUGGACGUUACUCGCAGAACAAGCACCGGCUAACUCUGUGCCAGCAGCCGCCGCAG
rnacentral:rRNA from 1 species